UACCAGCACCCCGAGUGGUCGGGACGUUUAUUGGGCCUAAAGCAUCCGUAGCCGGUUCUACAAGUCCUCCGUUAAAUCCAGCUGCUUAACAGAUGGGCUGCGGAGGAUACUAUAAGACUAGGAGGCAGGAGAGGCAAGCGGUACUCAGUGGGUAGGGGUAAAAUCCGUUGAUCCAUUGAAGACCACCAGUGGCGAAGGCGGCUUGCCAGAAUGCGCUCGACGGUGAGGGAUGAAAGCUGGGGGAGCAAACCGG
rnacentral:rRNA from 1 species